rnacentral:tRNA from 1 species
GGGGGAUUAGUUAAGUGGUAUAACAACGGUCUCCAAAACCGUGAUCAGGGGUUCGAUUCCCUUAUCCCCCGCAA